AGGCAAAUGGAUGGAACUAGAAAAUAUCAUCCUGAAUGAGGUGACUGCAGAGACCAGAAGAAAGCGUGGAAUCUCCAGGGGCUGGAGCUGAUUGUCAAUUGCCUGAUGUCGGUGAUGGGAACUAAAUCCAGGACUUCGUGAAAGCAGUACUAGUUUUAACUACUGAGCCCUUUCUCUAGCCCACUUGGUGGUGGUGGUGGGCCUGUGAAGCAUUUUGACUGUUUGUUGCAAUCCCCCCAACACGUGACAUCAUAUAGGGUCCCUGGUGAGCCGUCAAUGACUCUAUACCUCUGUUCCUACAGAAGACACAGAGAUCUUUAAUAGCCGUUGUUCCACCUCUUUGCCCUGGACCAAGGCCUCUGAACCCCAGGCUAGGUAGUUACCUCUGUCUUUCCUCUGGUGGUGCUCUCUGCAGGACCUGCCUCCAGUGCUUUUUGGGUCAUCUUGGGAAGCGAUUUUGGUUCAUGAAUCCCAGGAUCUUUGUCUACAAAAUGACCUGAGGUAGAGUGGCUUCAUAAGCACUCGGUGACCAUGAGGUGGAGCCUGAUGGAUGUGGGGUCACUGUUGUUGCAUCUGCUGGCCACACACCUGCAGAGUUGACUAUUCAAUUGAGAACUAGGCAGACCCCUCUAUGAGUAAAUUGAAUGGAGCUUGGGUUGGAACAAAACCCUCAAAUAGCUGUUGCAGGCACAGGCUGGGUUCUAAGGCAAAACAAAGGGACACUUGGCUAUUCUUUCUCUAAACUGAGCUCCUGGGCCCUUCAGCAUGUGUGAUAGGGGUCAGUCUGGAAGAGUGGGGGAGCAGGCCAGGUUCAUAUCUCCCCAUCUAGGAGCCCUGGCAGGGCUGAGGCCAUGGAUUACUUUGCUUGUAUCCUCAGAGCUCAACACAGGGCAUGGCACAGAACAGGCACUCAUUAAUCAAGUUUAAGUUAACAAAUAAACAUAACCCUGGGAAGAGAAUUUCUGUUCUCAGCCUCUGCUUCCUUGUCUACAAAAUGAGGAUGAUGGUAUUUGACUCAAAUUCAUUGUGAGACUAAAACUACCAGCCCAGGGUUGGUGAAAUAGCUCAUCAGGGAAGGGUAUGUGCUGCCACGCCUGAGGACCUGAAUUCAGUACUCAGAACUCAUGCAGUAGAAGUAGAGAACUGACUCCUGUAAUUUGUCUACACACACACACACACACACACACACACACACACACACACACACGUAAGGAAAAAAAAUCAGGUUUGUCCAAGAGACUCCCAAACCUUAUUGGAUAUUGCUAUCAACCUUGGGUUUUCCCAAGAGGUGGAAGGCAAAUCUGUAUUGCUAAAGACACUAUGCACCUCAGAUAUAGGGCUCAGAGAUUCCUGAGUUGGAACUGACCUGAAAGCCUUCUAUUCUGAGGACUAGCUUUCAUGAUGACACAUGGUACCUGCAAGCUUCCAAAGGAAGGAAGUAACCGACAGUACUACUCAGCUAUGGCGCUUAUAAACCACCACAACAAACAACAUUGCAUCAUAAUCCUAGUGUACUAGAGGUACUUAUACCUGGGUGGAAACCAAAAGGGUCUCUCAUUGGACUGAAGACCCAUUCAACAAUUGGGAAAUCUUACCUAGUACUGGAAAAGUAGCCUACUACCCAGACUAAUGAAGUCAUGAAUCUUGGAGGAGAACCUACAACCUCUAAUUUACUAAACUAGCAUAUUCCAUAACUACAUUAUGAAUCUUUGUCCUAAUACCCACAGAUAAACGUCGUCCUCACCCCUCAUCAAGGGAACUUCUCUUUGCAACAAACAAGAGACCGUUAUAGAAGAGAACCAACCAAAAUGCAGGGUUGUAGAGCUCAGUCCAAAGAAUGCAUCUAUGAUACAACUGCCACACUUAAGGCUCUGGGAUCAUUGCAGAAAAGGGGGCAGAAUGACUGUAAGAGCCAGAGCAUAGAGAGUUUGAGGUGAGAUUGUCUCAUUGUGAGAUCUCUUUAGAAUGUCAGAAGCUGCAUCCCUACAGUUUCACAGCAUGGCUGCCUGAAAAAAAAAAA